rnacentral:rRNA from 1 species
CAGUAGCCGCGGGAAUACGUAGGGUGCAAGCGUUAAUCGGAAUUACUGGGCGUAAAGCGUGCGCAGGCGGUUAUAUAAGACAGAUGUGAAAUCCCCGGGCUCAACCUGGGAACUGCAUUUGUGACUGUAUAGCUAGAGUACGGCAGAGGGGGAUGGAAUUCAGCGUGUAGCAGUGAAAUGCGUAGAUAUGCGGAGGAACACCGAUGGCGAAGGCAAUCCCCUGGGCCUGUACUGACGCUCAUGCACGAAAGCGUGGGGAGCAAACAGGAUUAGAUACCCGCGUAGUCCCUGUCUCUUAUAC